rnacentral:misc_RNA from 1 species
AGGAUAUCCAGCACAACUGAUUCUGAUAGCUUCUAAGACACCACCACAUCGCAGUUGCUGGAUCACAUUCAGAUUCUCAAAGAUACAAGGCUUAAGGGCAUUAUUAGGCUUGACACAUCUGAUGUAGUGAGGCUCUGUUGAACUUAAUGUUUCCAUUAAAGAUUGCAGUUGUAGCUUAAAACGAGACCCUAUGGAGGAGAAUUUGGACGAUUUCGAUGAUUCUUCAGGUAGAGGAGGAAACAAACCCGCCACAAAAGUACAUUUUGAGGCUGUUAACAGAACCUGAUGUUCUGCAACCACAUAAUCUUUGUUCUUAUCCAGA